rnacentral:sRNA from 1 species
AUCCCUCCUGAGCUAUCCGUCCUUCCCAUACCAUAUUCCAGCUAUUGUACUUAAUAAAUUAUAUGGGCUCCAAAUGUUGAAAGGAACACUCAUGUGCAAUGGGUGGACCACAUCCUGAGUUCAGGAUGAAGCGCAAUCUGUCUUUUUCUUUGAAAAUGGUUGCAACAAAGAAGCUGGCGGAAUUACAUAUCUACCCAGAAAUAAAUAUAAACACCAGCUAUAAGUACGGAACUCUACAUUCAUAUUCUACUUUGGAGAGGGACAGAGAAAAAAAUUCAAGGGGGGUAUAAAUCUAUAUACAGCAACAACAGAGAUGACAUUUCGAUUCGAGGGGCAGAUAAGGACGUGGAUCCAUGCACAGAAAUAUCACCAACUAAACAGUCUCCUUCAUUACCCCGUUCCCAUUCACAUUCUCAUUCUCUGCCUUCUCUUGCAGCUUCUUCUCCUUUCUCUCACGCUUCGCGAUGAUCCGGGCCUGUCUGGCGUGCUCCUGCGCUUCCAGCCCAGUUUUUGUAACUUCGUGGUCCCGACUAAGUUCCUUCUUCUUAAUGAAAAGGCUGAAUACACAACCUAAGGCACCAAUGGCAGCGUAAAAAACCCAUACACGGCUAAAGGCGACGUUGUAUACAUCCAACAGCACAUCUCGCUGUGCCUGCGUUAUGGCGGCUAAGCUUUCCCCUCGCACCCCGGCAAAAUUUCCAACGAACUGAUUAGCGAGUUCUGGUCCGAGUGCAGCCAAUAUCCUUGGCGCGGAUUGUUUGAGGACAUUUUGAUAGACCACCCCGCCCAGCACAACAGACGUGGCGGUCGAGAGCUGUCUGACAAACGAAUGCGUUGAGGUGGCCGUUGAUACUUCCGACUGGGGAACUCGUGACUGAAGAGCCAGGAGGGGGGCCUGGAAAUUCGGGCCGGUCCCGCUACCAGCAAUCGCUUGGUAUAUAAUCAGCCUUGGCCAGGAUGUGUAUGGUUUGAAAUCGAUGUACAAGCCAGUACCCAGCGUCAUAACAAACAUGCCCAAUCGGAUAAAUUCGACGUAUGUGCCCGUCUUGCGGAUGGCAAAGCCGAUGAUGAAGGAAACGACGGAUAGAGAGACUACUUGGGGUAGAAUAUAGACGCCACUCAUGAUGGGGGACGUGCCGAGGACCGUUUGGAAGUAGAGAGGGAGGAAGAAUGCGCCGGCGAUGAAGUUGGACGCGUGCGACCAGUUCAAUAACAGGGUGAAGACGUUGCUCCGGUCUGCGAACAGGGCCAUUGGCAGGAUGGGAUACUUGGCCACUUUACGUUCGAUUAUGACGAAGAGUCCCAGAGUGAUGGCGCCAAAAAUCAGGAGGCAAAUCACUGUUGGGGAAUUCCAGGGCAGAGUUAUGCCGCCGAAUUCGAGGCCGAAAAGGAACAUGAGUGUCCCACCAAUGAUGAGUAUGGUGCCCAGCCAGUCAAUUGUACUCAGGCCGGCGAUCAGUGAGGUUUUGGGGGUGUCGAUUUUGAGCCAUAUGAGAAGAGUUACGAGUGCGAGGCCGCCAAAUGGGACUGUAGAGGAAUCUAAGCGUUAGGUUCUUGAAGGAAUAUUAAUGAGGAUAGAGCCAGCAACUGACGGUUGAUAUAGAAACACCAUCUCCAUGUCACUUUCUCGGUAAAUAGGCCUCCCACGACGGGGCCAAGGGAGCCUGCGAUAGCCCACGUCAUUCCGAACAUUGCAUAAUAUACUGGACGCUCUCUGAGGGCCAAAGUUUCUCAGUUUAGAACUUGGGUUAUUCAUGUUUAUAACAACCAGAUGAGGGGGAAACAAGGGGAUUGGAAAGUAGAAAAGAGGGGAGAAAACCAUCAAUGAGAGAAUAUAUUGCAUGCGUACGUACCUUUGGCUGAACAAAUCACCCACACAAAUCUGUCCAAGCAAAACCAGGCCGCCGCCACCGACUCCUUGAAUGGCUCUUCCAGCAAUCAAGAUUGCUGUAUUCGGCGCCAGAGCACACAUCAGACUCGAAAGUAAAAACAAGACGUUUGCAACGACAAUGAUGGGCUUGCGGCCCCAGAUGUCACUCAGUUUUCCCCAAAGGGGAAUGACUGAAGCAUUGCCGAGGAGGUAUGAUGAAGCCAUCCAUGAAUAGCCGCUUUCGGAUGUGUUGAACUGGCGAGCAAUUGUAGGCAGAGCCGUGGCGAUAAUUGACUGCUUCAAAGUUAACAUCUACACGUCUAGAAGAAUGGGAAGAUGAUGGCUCACCAUAUCAAGGGCUGCGAGGAAUAACGCGAGCUAAUGUACACCAGGAAAUGCGUCAGCUUGCCUAUGUCCAUUUUCAAUCUAUAUUCAAGCUAUACAGAAAAACGGGUCUUUAUGCGAGGAAAAGGGGAAGGUUAUAGUUCACUCACACAAAGUGCAAACAUGACCACAGCUAUCUGCUUCUUUGUCAUUUUCUCACUUUGCGCCGGACGAUCAUCUGCCACAGCUGUCGUUAUAUCAUUUCCCCCUGUUCUUGGAGUCGCCGGGCUGUCUGAUCCAGUAUCGUCUUGCUCCAGGCUUGCGACCCCCGUCUGGCUUCCAUUUGUGUCGAGCAUUCCCAUUCCUGCAGGCUUUUCACAAUCGAACUCCUUUUCCAUGAUCGGGCUGUGGCCUGCCUGUGUCGUGGUAGGGCUAUCGGGUGUGUAGUCUUCUCCAGCAACCCCCAUAUUUGCUCUGGAAGGAAAGAUAUCUUUCGAUAUUCCCUCUGCAAGAAAUCAUAUACGGCAAUCAAAUAUCAAGAAUCCUAGUGAUUGGUGCGCAGAGAGAUUUGUCAAUUAACUAAUAACUAUAGACAGGAUGUUUAUGAGGAUAGUGUGGAUAUGCAAAUAUCAACGAACAGGAAAUAUGAAGCCAAAAAAAGCAGCUUUCUGCUUUUUCGUUUUUUUUUUAAUGAGCCCACGGCCAUCAACGGCUUUUGAAGAAUACUUUUCAAGAGAAAUACCUGAACAUCAAGAGAAACAACUUAAUGACACACAACCCCUGUCCCGCUAAAGCCAUAACAGGGAUGUCAGAUAUAUCACGAGAAGGAAAGCGGAAAAAAGGGAAAAUGAAAAAAAAAAAAAAAAAAAAAAAAAAAAACUUCAAAAGACUAACCGCAGGUAUAUGGUCGAUAAUAUUUUGGUCAAAGAGGCGAAAAAGGUCGCACAAACACAUUGGGGCGAGGGGGGUUCCCACCUCGGCAGACAUCUUGAGAAUUCUAGAUGCUUUUGCUUAUUGAUCUAAUGUGCUCGGGAACUCGGUUUCCGGAAUGCACCAGUGUAAAUACGAUGCUAACAAAACCUACGAGAAGGAGCUAAGCCGGAGUGUUGGUCAACACCGAUUCAAACUUCAUGGCUUAUCUCCAUACUCCUGAUGAUUCGAGAACGGAACCAAGCCUCCUCGAAGCUUAACCCGGGUAGCUAUCUUCUUAUCAAUCAGAUAAUCUCAUCUGCUUCGAAGUGUCAGAAGGAACGAAAAAAAUCUACGUACGGAAAGGAUUCCGCCACCUCCUUGCUCACAAUUGGCCAUAUGAAAGAAAGCCUCCAAGCUGCUUGCUCUUGUCCGGCACUCCUGAAUCCUGAUCAAUCCUCGCGCUGGAUGCUGGUCAAAGUGCCUGUCAAUUUCUGCGUUUCGGCUUCUUUAUCAGAACCUUUUCAAACCACGCGAUGGGUUCCGCAAACCAUUAUUGGUGGCGUCCCACGUGAGUGCCAUGCGGUGGCUGGAUGGGAGAGUAGAGAUCGACACGUAAAAUAAUAUGACGUGAGAAAGCGAUUCGCUCGCUUCGCAGGAUUUUUUUACUCUAUACAGAAUGUCGUUUCUAUCCACCGUUCAUCAUCAUCAUCAUCAUCAUCAUCAUCAUUUGCUCUUAGAGUUCAGGG